rnacentral:rRNA from 1 species
AGCGAACGCUGGCGGCAGGCCUAACACAUGCAAGUCGAACGAAGUCUUCGGACUUAGUGGCGGACGGGUGAGUAACACGUGGGAACGUACCUUUUGGUUCGGAACAACUCAGGGACACUUGAGCUAAUACCGGAUGAGCCCUUAGGGGGAAAGAUUUAUCGCCGAAAGAGCGGCCCGCGUUAGAUUAGCUAGUUGGUGAGGUAAAGGCUCACCAAGGCUACGAUCUAUAGCUGGUCUGAGAGGAUGAUCAGCCACACUUGGACUGAGACACGGCCCAGACUCCUACGGGAGGCAGCAGUGGGGAAUCUUGCGCAAUGGGCGAAAGCCUGACGCAGCCAUGCCGCGUGAAUGAUGAAGGUCUUAGGAUUGUAAAAUUCUUUUACCAGGGACGAUAAUGACGGUACCUGGAGAAAAAGCCCCGGCUAACUUCGUGCCAGCCGCCGCAGUAAAAC